GGCGGCAGGCCUAACACAUGCAAGUCGAGCGGGCAUCGCAAGAUGUCAGCGGCAGACGGGAGAGUAACACGUGGGAACGUACCCUUCAGUUCGGAAUAACCCAGGGAAACUUGGACUAAUACCGAAUACGUCCGUAAGGAGAAAGAUUUAUCGCUGAAGGAUCGGCCCGCGUCCGAUUAGCUAGUUGGUGGGGUAAUGGCCCACCAAGGCGACGAUCGGUAGCUGGUCUGAGAGGAUGAUCAGCCUCACUGGGACUGAGACACGGCCCAGACUCCUACGGGAGGCAGCAGUGGGGAAUAUUGGGCAAUGGGCGCAAGCCUGAUCCAGCCAUGCCGCGUGGGUGAUGAAGGCCCUAGGGUUGUAAAGCCCUUUCGGCGGGGAAGAUAAUGACGGUACCCGCAGAAGAAGCCCCGGCUAACUUCGUGCCAGCAGCCGCGGUAAUACGAAGGGGGCUAGCGUUGCUCGGAAUCACUGGGCGUAAAGCGCACGUAG
rnacentral:rRNA from 1 species